rnacentral:rRNA from 1 species
AACGAACGCUGGCGGCAGGCUUAACACAUGCAAGUCGAGCGCCCCGCAAGGGGAGCGGCAGACGGAUGAGUAACGCGUGGGAAUCUACCCACGUCUACGGAAGAACGCAUGGAAAAGCGUGCUAAUACCGUAUACCUCCUUCGGGAGAAAGAUUUAUCGGAGAUGGAUGAGCCCGCGUUGGAUUAGCUAGUUGGUGGGGUAAAGGCUUACCAAGGCGACGAUCCAUAGCUGGUCUGAGAGGAUGAUCAGCCACACUGGGACUGAGACACGGCCCAGGCUACUACGGGAGGCAGCAGUGGAGAAUAUUGGACAAUGGGCGCAAGCCUGAUCCAGCCGUGCCGCGUGAGUGAUGAAGGCCCUAGGGUUGUAAAGCUCUUUCACCGGUGAAGAUAAUGACGGUAACCGGAGAAGAAGCCCCGGCUAACUUCGUGCCAGCCGCCGUGGUAAAAC